GAAAAAUAAUAAUGUUUAAGCUAAAAUUGGGUUUAAGCUCGCAUUAAGAACAAACUAAUCAAACAUCAGAUUCAUGAUGCCCACUGCACAGCUUGACUAUGGCCUCACCAAUUAAACAAGAAUGUUGCAGAAAACAACUGUACAAUUUGAAAAAAAAUUCCAAUACCUAAAAUAUUGAAUGCUCAUUUCCUGUCGUUCUUGCUCAUUUUCUUCUUUUGCUUCUUGUAUUCGUCAUAUAAUUGUAGGGCUAACGUAGUACGCUCUAAUUCGCUCCUUAGUCUCCCAUUCUCUUUGAAAUCACGGAGGAGCACAAAAUGAUCAGAAAGUUUCUUUUUCAACUCGUCUUCAUCAGCUGAACUUGUAUCUAGAGAACUAUCAAUGCCACCAGUCAUUUUAGAAGACCCUUUUUUCCUCUUGCUAUUUGAUUUUCUAAUGUCGUAUUUUGGGUUGAGCAACUCCCUUUCGAGGGACAAGUCUGUAAAAGCUUGCUGAGGAGAUAUUGAGGAAAGAUAAACUUGGUUAUGAGAAGUGCUCAUGCUUGAAAUGCUUGAAGCCAUCGUUGAAACAGCUGGAUGGUAAUGCUUGCAGAGAAGAUUGAGUUCCCAGAGGACUGAGGCAAGUGCCCCACUUAAAUUAGGAUCUGAGGCAUACGGCUGAUAUUUCGCAACAAAACCAGAAACUGAGCCACCCCCUGCAUCAUUUUCCAAUAGAUUCCGGCAUUUGACAUUCUUCUGGAGGAGAUACUUCAAAGUUACCAAAGCAGCCAUGGAUUCAGCUGAUCCAAAGCACAGUGAGAAUGUGGCCAAACGUUUUACAAAUGCAGCAGCCUUUUGCAUAUCAUGCUGUCUGUCUUCACAUAACAUAACCUUCAAAGCUUCUGCUAAUACUUCACCCUGAUCUCUUCCAGGCCUGUACUCAAGAAUAAGAUUAUACAGCAGCACAAAGAAGCCCUGUAAAUCAACAUUUAGGGCAUCUAGAUUGCUCUUCAUCACUUUAAAGGCAACAAUGCAGCAUUGAAGGCGUUCAGAAACAGUCAAGUACUUCGAACUUCUUUCUGAGGAACUGUUAGAGUUGGUAUCACCACCAGCAAGCUUUUUCAGAUAAUUCAUAAGAUCUCCAAUGUAAUCCAGAUCUAUUAGAUGAGAAAACUUUCCCAAUCCAUUCAGACAAGGAGCAAGCAGAGGGUGGGCCCCAGUUGCAUUGGCAACUAAAUUAUCAUUCGCUUCAGGACUGUCUGUGGUUGACAGCAUGGUAUGCUUCAAGAUGCGAAAAUAUGUCUCAAAGACAGCAGAAAGUGUCUCUGAUUGCAUCCUUUUCUGUUCCUUAACAUCUGUGGUAAAAGCAGCAGCCUUAUAAUCAGCAGCAACCUCCUCCCUCAUUUUUGUCAACAGUUCUUUCCUACUUUUUUUUCUAUCAUUUUCUUGUAAUUGACUUGGCUCCUCAUUAUUCUUUCUCUUCUUGCUUUUCUUGUUUCUAAAUUUAUUUUCCUUGUCCUCUUCUUCAGCCUUUCCAAGAUCUUCAUCAAAGGACAAUGACAACAAUACCUCAACAGAAUCCGGAUGCAAUUGACAAUCAUGAGCUUUAACAUGAUCAGCUAUUAACCGAACAGCCUCUACAGUAGCUUGACCACCGUGCUUUCCCUCGCUGGUAAAAAGUGACUUAAUAGUAGCACAACAAAGUUUCCUGUUAAAAAAUAGUGUGAACAUAAUUGAACCAAAGCCAUAGACAAAGCCAAAAGUAUUAAGAAGAAGCAUUAAUGACCUAGGUGGUUGAAGAAGCAUAAUUACAGUACAAUUAUCACAUGGGAAAUGAACAUACCAAUGAAAGAUUGACCUUUUAUAAAGGCAAGUAAACAUAACUUCAAUAUUAGCUGCACAAUUACUUUUUGGACUAAUACAAGAUAAGGGUAGAUAAUGUGUGGAUUUUUGUAACAACAGCCUAACCUUACUAGAAUAUAGUAAUUUGCUAAAGGAAUUGACAGACACAAUCAGUUAAAAUAACUAUAAUAACAGUAAUUAUGGUUUUCCUUUAAUAUUUCAACAGAAAUCUUCAUAUUGCUUCUUUAGGGGCCUCCACCUUGAAACCCCCUCCACCAAAUAUUUUAGAACAGCAAGUUCUGAAAAUGCACAGGAAAAGGAAGAUAACUAUAGCAAAACCUUAUGACGUCAUCUGAAGAACCUAUGUUUUCAACCACAGCACCUAACAAAUUUUCACAGAAGUUGAAGUGGGGAGCUGCUUCAAGCAAAGUACAAAUGCAGCGAACAGCCACAUGCUGGUACUUGGACCGUUUCUCUAAUACCAUCAGCUUCUGCAAGUACACCUUGUAUGCAGACAGAAGUGUUGAUUCAUGGUACCGCAACUUCUUAACAUCCUUGGAAACUUUCAUUUCUAGCUCCUUCUCAGUAGGAAGCCUAAUCCGGUAGCCUGGAAUAAUGUCUUUAAAAACAGCUAACAACGAUAACAAUGCAAGUUUGACAAUAGCAUGAUCAUCAUCUUUACAGAAUUGCAACAUCUCUUUCAGAGUUUUUAUAUUCGACUCUGGAUCUGCCAGCAAUGCGAUGCCCAGCUCUGCUAAUUUAAGCUUCUUGUUUUCAAACACUUCUUCAGCAGUGAGAUCUUCUUUCACCUUGGCCAGCACAGCGGCUUGUGGGGUUUCUUGCACUUCUUCUGUCUUCCCCAACUCCUUCCCUUGUUUCUUUGCCUCUUUCUUGCUUUUUUUCAGCUUUGCCCUCCUUUCUGCUUUCGUCAGUCUCACUAUACCCUUAUCAGCGCCGGAAUCAUCCUUCUCAUCAUCUGCGUCCCGACCAUUUUCAGAUUUUUCUGAUGUAUUGGACAAAGUCCGAUAGUAAAGUUUUCCAUCUAAAGUCUUUACAGGAAGAGCAUCAACAGGAUCAACUUGAAGCCGCACUUCCUCCUCCUGUUUCUGCUGUGACUUCCUCCCCAGCCGCUUCUCAUACGCUGCUUCUAAAUCAUCUCCUUCUAAAUCAGCAACGCGAGAAACAUGCCUGGUGAUGGUAUCGGUGUCCAAGCGAGAAACAAAGCCAGCAUAAUCUCUGUUCUCAUUGACGAAUUGCAAGUCCUCAUCAGAGACCUCAAUUUCAUCCUCAGAUAUCUCCGGCGGCAACGCCGGUGGCAACACUAUCUUUUGCUUCUGCUUCUUCUUCACCAUUUUCUCUUUUACCAACCAAAGAAAAGGAGACGUCCAAUGCAGAUACCAGGAGAAGCAACACAAUGACCAGAGCUGGGGCUUAGGGUUUUAGACUGCCACAUAAGUUAGUUUUAAGAGAUAAUGCGCUUCGGUUUUCCAAUAUGGGCCUAUUGGGCCUCACUCGGCAAGAGCCCAAUUCCUUUAUU
rnacentral:misc_RNA from 1 species